UCACAAGCUGUAGGAAGUUGUGGG
rnacentral:piRNA from 1 species